UGCGCAGGCGGCCCUGUAAGACCGGUGUGAAAUCCCCGGGCUCAACCUGGGAAUUGCGCUGGUGACUGCAGGGCUAGAGUACGGUAGAGGGGGGUGGAAUUCCUGGUGUAGCAGUGAAAUGCGUAGAGAUCAGGAGGAACACCGAUGGCGAAGGCAGCCCCCUGGGCCUGUACUGACGCUCAUGCACGAAAGCGUGGGAGCAAACA
rnacentral:rRNA from 1 species